UCUUCACAUCAUAGCUUAGCCAUCUGCUGUUCGAAGCUUGGAUCGACGCAAACCCUCACCUUGCCACUACUUUUACCCGAAUGGAGAUGCUCAACAGCAUCUGCAACAGAAUGCAAACCUAAAAAUCUUUUUGGAUCUAUUUCAACCUAUUACACAAUUGAACUUCAGCAUGUUAGGAACUCAAGUAACAA